rnacentral:rRNA from 1 species
GACGAACGCUGGCGGCGUGCCUAACACAUGCAAGUCGAACGAGGCCACUCCUUCGGGAGUGAGUCGAGUGGCGGACGGGCGAGUAACACGUGAGCAAUCUACCCUUGUGCGGGGGAUAACCCGGGGAAACCCGGGCUAAUACCGCAUGGUCAAGAGAAUCGCUGAUUCUUUUGGGAAACGUGGCCUCUUUACAAUGCUACGGCGCAGGGAGGAGCUCGCGGGCUAUCAGCUAGUUGGUGAGGUAACGGCUCACCAAGGCAGCGACGGCUACGGGGUCUGAGAGGACGACCCCGCACAUUGGAACUGAGACACGGUCCAGACUCCUACGGGAGGCAGCAGUGGGGAAUAUUGGGCAAUGGCCGAAAGGCUGACCCAGCGACGCCGCGUGCGGGAGGAAGCCCUUCGGGGUGUAAACCGCUGUCAGGGGGGACGAAAGAUCUCGGGGUUAACAAUCCCGGGAAGUGACGGUACCCCCAGAGGAAGCACCGGCUAACUCUGUGCCAGCAGCCGCGGUAAGACAGAGGGUGCAAGCGUUGUUCGGAAUUACUGGGCGUAAAGCGCGCGCAGGCGGGUCCUGUAAGUCGGAAGUGAAAUUUCACUGCUCAACGGUGAAGCUGCUUCUGAUACUGCGGACCUGGAGACCGGUAGAGGCUGGUGGAAUUGCAGGUGUAGCGGUGGAAUGCGU